rnacentral:lncRNA from 1 species
CUGAAACUGACUAUCGGGAACAAGAGGAGAACCUCGUCCUGAUGCAAAUAAAGACUCGAUCGAUCAAGAUUGGACGAGGAGGAAAGCCUCCUCAAUGGCUCCUCUACACUUUCAUGACCCCAUUAAGAGCAGAGGGAAAACCCUCACUCGAACACAGAAAAAAGGGGGGAGAUGAAAAGAGAAAGCGACGAACUACACCAGCGAUAGGUGAAAAAU